rnacentral:misc_RNA from 1 species
UUGUGAAGGAAAUUCUACAACUAUAUUAUACUCUCAACACCUCAUUCCUGAUGGAAUCCAACGCCACGAGAUUAAGAAAGAUGGGUGGCAGGUUGACAAAUAAAGACAUGGACCAGUUGGAACAAUGGAUAGGUACAGGUCCUAAAUCAUUCACACUGCUCUAUGCUAUCACCAGAGAUGGAUGCAAUGCUACCACCUUUCAUCAGAAAUGUGACAACCAGGGUGCUACUGUAACAGUGCUAUACAAUCCACAUGGGUCUGUGUAUGGAGGUUAUACAAGUGAGAGCUGGGCUGACAAUGGCGGUUACAGAGAUGAUGCCGAUGCAUUCUUAUAUCAGCUUUAUUACAGUAAAAAUCCUCAAUGCACGAAAUUUCCAUACAAUUAUAAUGGAUACGCUACAUAUACUGCAGGGUCUGGGCCAACAUUUGGUAGUAAUCACGACUUAGAAACUUUUCAGGGAACGAUAAAGAAAACUCAACACUUCUUUGCACUAAACGGUUACAUGAGCAUCGGCGGUAGUUACGACAGUCAGGGUAUAAGUGUGAACCAGAUCAAUAACGGCACCAUGAAUGUUACUGAGCUUGAGGUGUAUAGAGUUGCAGAUGGCCAAAGAAGAAUAGUGCCGAAUAAGCCAUGGCGUAAAACGAAACGUUGGAACAAAAGGUUCUUACAUGAACUCACCGAAGACAUAGUUUCCUUCAAACCUAAUUCCCAAUUUAGAUGUCACAGAAGCUAGAAUCCUGAUGAUUGGUUCUGUUGGAGCUGGAAAGUCAAGUUUCUACAACACCAUAAACUCCAUAUUCCGAGGCCGCAUUACACAGAGAGCAAAUAGCGGCAGUGCAGAACAAAGUCUUACCACGGCUUAUACCCCAUACUUUGUGCGUGAACGAUCUGGGGCUAAUCAAAAUUUCUUGUUGUGCGACACACGCGGUUUGGAAGAAGCUCAAGGUUUAGAUGUUCUUGAAUGCAACUAUCUUCUGGAAGGAAAUGUGCCAGAAUAUU